GGAAGCAAAAGUCGUAACAAGGUUUCCGUAGGUGAACCUGCGGAAGGAUCAUUACAAAUCGGUUUGUGGUAGUGGGGGAGGGGAGGUUUGUUGGGUGUGGUGGGGUUGUGUCGCAAGAUGCACCUCGGCACUCCAACACUACCACCUAACCCCUACUCAUCCACUCACAUUUGCGCUUGUUGUGUUUGACAGAGUAAGCUAUCUACAAAUGAGACAACUUUUAACAAUGGAUCUCUUGGCUCUU
rnacentral:misc_RNA from 1 species